AGGCCCUGCCCUACGUGUGUCUGCUCAUCGCCAUGCUGUUGUUCAUCUACGCCAUCAUCGGCAUGCAGGUUUUUGGAAAUAUUGCCCUGGAUGAUGACACCAGCAUCAACCGGCACAACACCUUCAGGACGUUUUUGCAAGCCUUGCUGCUGUUGUUCAGGAGUGCCACUG